UACGUAGGGCGCAAGCGUUAUCCGGAAUUAUUGGGCGUAAAGAGCUCGUAGGCGGUCUGUCGCGUCUGCUGUGAAAACUCAGGGCUUAACCCUGAGCUUGCAGUGGGUACGGGCGGGCUAGAGUUCGGUAGGGGAGACUGGAAUUCCUGGUGUAGCGGUGAAAUGCGCAGAUAUCAGGAGGAACACCGGUGGCGAAGGCGGGUCUCUGGGCCGAUACUGACGCUGAGGAGCGAAAGCGUGGGGAGCGAACAGG
rnacentral:rRNA from 1 species